rnacentral:tRNA from 1 species
GUGGAAUUAGCUCAGUUGGUUAGAGUGCCAGGUUGUGGCCCUGGAGGUCACGAGUUCGAUUCUCGUAUUCCACCCCA